rnacentral:rRNA from 1 species
GAUGAACGCUGGCGGCGUGCCUAACACAUGCAAGUCGAACGAAGCACCUUAAAGUUUUCGGACAGAGAGGUGACUGAGUGGCGGACGGGUGAGUAACGCGUGGGUAACCUGCCUCAUACAGGGGGAUAACAGUUAGAAAUGACUGCUAAUACCGCAUAAGCGCCCAGAGCUGCAUGGCUCGGUUUGAAAAACUCCGGUGGUAUGAGAUGGACCCGCGUCUGAUUAGCUAGUUGGUAAGGUAACGGCUUACCAAGGCGACGAUCAGUAGCCGACCUGAGAGGGUGACCGGCCACAUUGGGACUGAGACACGGCCCAAACUCCUACGGGAGGCAGCAGUGGGGAAUAUUGCACAAUGGGGGAAACCCUGAUGCAGCAACGCCGCGUGAUUGAAGAAGUAUUUCGGUAUGUAAAGAUCUAUCAGCAAGGAAGAAAAUGACGGUACUUGACUAAGAAGCCCCGGCUAACUACGUGCCAGCCGCCGCUGUAACAC